CUGAAUUCUCGCAAAUCCUGGCACCCGUGCUUUGGAGGAAUCAGCUGAGUUGAUUUUAUGCCACAAACAAAGGGAGGGAAGGACAGUGUAGGUCACAGGCCCGCAUUCGGUCACUGGCUCAAAUCUGAGCGGAUGUGACCCCUCUGUGACAAUGUUCCCAAGGUGUACAGGGAGGAGCCGCAUGCUUUAUAACUAGGAUGGGAGCCAGAUAAGCUUUCCCUCUUCACCACCUUGGACUUCCUAAGGAUAACAACUCCAGGCCGCCGAGAAGCAGAGCUGGGGAGAGUGCUGAGAUAGGAAAUGCCGAGGCCUGUAUUAUCGUUGGCUCCCCGUUUCCUUGUUUCCUGUGCCAAAGGAGACACCUGGGACAAGAAGGAAAAAGGGGGGAAGGUGGAACCGACUUUCAAGUCUGGUCAAUUCCAAAUCUAUUACAAGAUCUGUCAUCAACUGGAGGCUGGAGGAAGAGUUAUAACUGAUACAGUGAAUCAGGCCAAGCCCAACUAGAAGCCAGAGACAUGGAGCCCAAGCGAUGCAAUCAUCCACAGACUUCAGCCUCCCAUGUCCUGAGCUUAGCGGCAAAUGGUAGAGUGUGACUCUGCAGGGCCCUGAUCUACUCCAAGGAGAAAAUCUCCCUCAUCCCUAGCCCAUCCUCUCUCCCAAGAUGUGUGUCAUUGGAGGGGCUGUGUUAAAGGUGGGAAAAUCCUCUGGGGGUUGCUGUUGGGAACUUCCCCACCCCUGGGUCCCCUUAACACUCACUCAUUUGCAUCAUCGAAUGGUGAUCUCUCUUUGUUUUAUCCUGAAUAACCCAAAUAAUUAAAAAAAACAAACUAAAUAAAUUCUAUUUCUCUCCAAUUAGAUUUACA
rnacentral:lncRNA from 13 species